rnacentral:tRNA from 1 species
GGGGAUAUAGCUCAAAUGGUAGAGCACAUGCUUAGCAUACAUGAGGUCCUGGGUUCAGUCCCCAGUACCUCCU